GAAAGGCGAUAAGUAAUGUGAAUUGCAGAAUUCAGUGAAUCAUCGAAUCUUUGAACGCACCUUGCGCUCCUUGGUAUUCCUUGGAGCAUGCCUGUUUGAGUAUCAUGAAAUCUUCAAAGUAAAUCUUUUGUUAACUCAAUUGGUUUCUACUUUGGUAUUGGAGGUCUUUGCAGCUUCACACCUGCUCCUCUUUGUUCAUUAGCUGGAUCUCAGUGUUAUGCUUGGUUCCACUCGGCGUGAUAAGUUAUCUAUCGCUGAGGACACUGUAAAAGGUGGCCAAGGUAAAUGCAGAUGAACCGCUUCUAAUAGUCCAUUGACUUGGACAAUACUUUUAUGAUCUGAUCUCAAAUCAGGUAGGACUACCCGCUGAACUUAAGC
rnacentral:misc_RNA from 1 species